UUGUGCCAGCAGCCGCGGUAAUUCCAGCUCCAAUAGCGUAUAUUAAAGUUGUUGCAGUUAGAACGCUCGUAGUCGGAUUUCGGGGCGAGCCUUCCGGUCUGCCGAUGGGUACGCACUGGUCGGCGCGUCCUUCCUUCCGGAGACCGUGCCUACUCUUAACUGAGCGGGGGCGGGAGACGGAACGUUUACUUUGAAAAAAUCAGAGUGUUUCAAGCAGGCAGCUCGCUCUUGCAUGGAUUAGCAUGGGAUAAUGAAAUAGGACUUUGGUGCUAUUUUGUUGGUUUCGAACACCGAAGUAAUGAUGAGAAGGGACAGUCAGGGGCACUCGUAUUCCGCCGAGAGAGGUGAAAUUCUCAGACCAGCGGAAGACGAACCACUGCGAAAGCAUUUGCCAGGGAUGUUUUCACUGAUCAAGAACGAAAGUUAGGGGAUCGAAGACGAUCAGAUACCGUCGUAGUCUUAACCAUAAACCAUGCCGACUAGGGAUUGGGGGAUGUUCACAUAUUGACUCCCUCAGCACCUUACGGGAAACUAAAGUCUUUGGGUUCCGGGGGGAGUAUGGUCGCAAGGCUGAAACUUAAAGGAAUUGACGGAAGGGCACCACCAGGUGUGGAGCCUGCGGCUUAAUUUGACUCAACACGGGGAAACUUACCAGGUCCAGACAUUGUGAGGAUUGACAGAUUGAGAGCUCUUUCUUGAUUCGAUGGGUGGUGGUGCAUGGCCGUUCUUAGUUGGUGGAGUGAUUUGUCUGGUUAAUUCCGUUAACGAACGAGACCUUAGCCUGCUAAAUAGUGACGCGAACACUUCGUUCGUGGGCCACUUCUUAGAGGGACAACUUGUCUUCAACAAGUGGAAGUUUGAGGCAAUAACAGGUCUGUGAUGCC
rnacentral:rRNA from 1 species